UACGUAGGGGGCGAGCGUUGUCCGGAUUUAUUGGGCGUAAAGAGCUCGUAGGCGGUUUGGUAAGUUGGAUGUGAAAUCUCCAGGCUCAACUUGGAGGGGUCAUUCGAUACUGCCAUGACUAGAGUUCGGUAGGGGAGUGUGGAAUUCCUGGUGGAGCGGUGAAAUGCGCAGAUAUCAGGAGGAACACCGGUGGCGAAGGCGGGACUCUGGGCCGAUACUGACGCUGAGGAGCGAAAGCGUGGGGAGCGAACAGG
rnacentral:rRNA from 1 species